AUUGAACGCUGGCGGCAUGCCUAACACAUGCAAGUCGAGCGGAGCGGCGGACGGGUGAGUAAUGCCUAGGAUUCUGCCUGGUAGCGGGGGAUAAGGUACGAACAAGGGAGCUAAUACCGCAUACUUUAAGAUGUGCCUACGUCGGAUUAGCUAGUUGGUGGGGUAAGGGCUUAACAAGGUGACGAUCCGUAACGGGGCUGAGAGGAUGAUCAGCCACACUGGAACUGAGACACGGUCCAGACUCCUACGGGAGGCAGCAGUGGGGAAUUUUGGACAAUGGGCGAAAGCCUGAUCCAGCCAUGCCGCGUGUGUGAAGAAGGCCUUCGGAUUGUAAAGCACUUUUAUUUGGGAAGCGUUACCUACAGAAUAAGCACCGGCUAACUACGUGCCAGCAGCCGCGGUAAUUC
rnacentral:rRNA from 1 species